GUGGACGCAUCACUGGUGUUCGGGUUGUCAUGCCAAUGGCACUGCCCGGUAGCUAAAUGCGGAAGAGAUAAGUGCUGAAAGCAUCUAAGCACGAAACUUGCCCCGAGAUGAGUUCUCCCUGAGACUUUAGGUCUCCUGAAGGAACGUUGAAGACGACGACGUUGAUAGGCCGGGUGUGUAAGCGCAGCGAUGCGUUGAGCUAACCGGUACUAAUGAA
rnacentral:rRNA from 1 species